rnacentral:misc_RNA from 1 species
AAAGAUAUAUAGCAUAUAUCUUCUGAAUAUACUUUAUUAACCCAAUUCCGAGUACCUUACCUCGUUGCUUCCGCGAGGCUGUCCUCACGGCCCUCUGAAGAUUUAUCUUUGGGGAGUUCCUCGCGGAAGGUAUACAAAUAAACUCUUGCAUUACCAUGUCACUCUGUCUGAAUCUGUUUUAAAACAAAUAUUAA